rnacentral:rRNA from 1 species
GUAGUUAGCCGGGGCUUCCUCCUUGACUACCGUCACUUUCUUCGUUGCCAAGGACAGAGGUUUACAACCCGAAAGCCUUCUUCCCUCACGCGGCGUUGCUGGGUCAGGCUUGCGCCCAUUGCCCAAUAUUCCCCACUGCUGCCUCCCGCAGGAGUCUGGACCGUAUCUCAGUUCCAGUGUGGCCGAUCAGCCUCUCAGCUCGGCUACCCAUCGUCGACUUGGUGGGCCGUUACCCCGCAACUAGCUAAUCAGACGCGAGCUCAUCUAUCAGCGAAUUGCUCCUUUCAUACACUUAUUCAUGCGAAUUAUGUACUAUAUGCGGUAUUAGCGUCCGUUUCCGGAAGUUAUCCCCCACUGAUAGGCAGGUUGCUCACGCGUUACUCACCCGUCCGCCACUAGACUUGAAAGCAAGCUCUCAAGUCCCGUUCGACUUGCAUGUGUUAGGCACGCCGCCAGCGUUCGUCCUGAGCCAGAAUCAAACUCUGA